UAUAAAAUUUCACGAACAGUAGCACAAUUUUAUAGAAAGUCGGCAAAACAAUAACAAGUAAAACAAUUAUAAUCGGUCGUGACCGAACCUUUGAUACACAUCACCGACGAAUAAAAAGGGAAACAACUCAAUCUUCAUUCUCUAUAAUAUUGUAUGUUCGCGUCUGACUUUCUCUAUUUUCAGAAUAAAAGUGAAAGUUUAUAUGGUGUGGGCAAGACCUCUGACCGGUUUGGAUCAUUUUCAAAUUGUCUUGCUAAUUUCUUGGCCGGUAUCUUCAUUUCUGCCACCACAAAUUGUUUACCACAUAUAAUAAACAAUUUGGCAAACAGGCAGAUACACAUACGAACAAACGGACAUGCUUGGGUGCAUACCGAUUUUAUAUCUGGCCAGGAAAUUACGUAUUUUAUGGAGUUUUGGAUUUGUUUCUGUGGAUUAUAAAGGAAUUGAAAAAGAAAGUGUUAAUACUCUAUAAUAUUGAAUGUGAGCGUAGAACGUACAUACAAUGAAGAUGCACUCGCUAUAUGUAGCACUGUAGGUGCGUCCUUCGACCGAUUUCGUCUAUUUUUAAUAUUAGCCUGCCCUACAAAAGCUUCCAAUGUGUCUGCCACAUUUGAGGUCGACAGUUUCAUUUUUGCGUCUAGGAGAAUGUUUGCAACAGACAUUACGCAGACCGACAGAUGGACAUGCGUAAAUCGAUUCAGAGUUUUUUACUGAUCGAAAAUAUAUAGUUGUGAUGUCUCUAAAGCUUCCUCCGGGGUACGUUUUCAUUCCGUGCAAACGCUUUCACAUUAUUUCAAAAGGAAGUAUGAAAAAACACACGAAAAACACAUGAA